UUUUUUUUUUUUUUUUUUUUUUUUUGAGACAGAGUCUCCUUCUAUUUUUCAGGCUGCAGUACAGUGGCACCAUCUCGGCUCACUGCAACCUCUGCCUCCCAGGCUCAAGCAAUUCUUGUGCCUCAGCCUCACAAGUAGCUGGGACUACAGGUGCACGCCACCAAACCUGGCUAAUAUCUGUAUUUUUAGUAGAGAUGAGGUUUCACUCUGUUGGCCAUGCUGGUCUUGAACUCUUGGCCUCAAGUGAUCUGCCCGCCUUAGCCUCCCAAAGUGCUGGGAUUACAGGGGUGAACCACAGUGCCCAGUGGGUUUGUCACAUUCUUAAAUCAGAUAUUCCUAAUGCUAUUAAUACUUCCUCUAAGCACGUUGGUUUUGGGGAGGUGUUAUCCCAGUUUUACACAUAAGUCUGAUGCCAGGGAAUGGUGUUAAAGAAAGUGAGUAACUGAUUAAGUAGAAUAUCUGUGAAGAGAGAGCACUGCCAUUGAAUAUUACUGGCUUUUCCACUCUCUGUCAGCUUUAGCCUUCAACUCGUUAGGCUUCUUCAAACUUACCUUAUAUAGGUACAUAGAAGUCUCAUAAAAGGUAUGGUCUAAAGCUUUUGUAGCAAAAGUUUGAUUUUUAAUACUUGCAUUGAAUAUGGCUGUGUCUAAUUGGGGAACCAAAUAGUAAGAUCAAUUUCAGAGAUUACUCAAAAAGCUACCAUGCCCCUGCGCUCCUUUUUUCUCCCCUCUGAACAAUAGUAUAAAGUGAGUUGUGUUGCUCUGUUUUUAUGAAAGUGGGGUGGGAUGUCAAAUUAAGUGGUUCCUAAUGUUAGAAUCAGAAUUGUGGGAAGAGAGAAGAGGCAGUUGUUCAAAUAUGAAACAUAAAAGUGCUGCAGAGGUACAUGCAGAGUGUGUCAGUAGAUGGUAAAAAAAAAAAAAAAA
rnacentral:lncRNA from 1 species